UCUUCUGCACACAGGGAAGCUACCAAGCCGCUCGCUUCAAUUGCAAGUUUACAACUCUCUCCGUCUCCCCAAACCACAGCAAAGGAAGCGGGAAGGCAAUGGCCGUGGAAACGGAGGCUUCCGCUGCCGCCGACCUCGCCCUCUCCGAGGCCAACAUCAAUUGGGACAGGUUGGACAAGACAAGGUUCCAUGUCAUCGGUGCUAUCCUCUUUACUGCUCAAUCUGGCUUGUUACAUCCUACAACUGUUGUAAAGACUAGAAUGCAAGUUGCUGGAGGUGGGCUCUCGCACAUGCAUGGCUUCUCUGUGUUUAAAACUAUAUUAAGAAAUGAUGGAAGUCCUGGUAUUUUCAGAGGUUUUGGGACCUCUGCAAUUGGGUCAUUACCUGGUCGAGUUUUGGCUCUAACAUCGCUGGAAGUAUCAAAAGAUAUGAUGCUAAAAUCCACCGAAGGUUUCAGUAUGUCUGAGGCAACACGGUUUGCUAUGGCUAAUGGAGUGGCAGGCUUGCUGUCAAGCAUAGUUUCAUGUGCAUAUUAUGUGCCAUUAGACGUGAUCUGCCAGAGGCUAAUGGUCCAAGGUCUUCCUGGAAUGCCAACAUAUAAUGGCCCAUUUGGUGUCAUUGAAAAAGUGCUGAAGGCAGAGGGGUUACGUGGCCUGUAUAGAGGCUUUGGGAUAACUUUAAUGACUCAAUCACCUGCAUCAGCACUUUGGUGGGGUGCCUAUGCAGGUGCUCAACAUGUUAUUUGGAGGAGCUUGGGCUAUGGAGAUGAUGCAAAGGAAAAACCAUCUAUGCUGGAGCUAGUUACAGUUCAGGCAUCAGCGGGAGCAAUAGCUGGUGCUUGUUCAUCAAUCAUUACAACUCCGAUAGAUACAAUCAAGACACGGCUUCAGGUCAUGGAUAACUAUGGUGUAGGAAGGCCGUCGGUCAUGAAGACUACAAAAUUUCUCCUUGAGGAAGAUGGUUGGAGAGGAUUCUAUAGAGGAUUUGGACCCCGGUCCCUGAACGUGUCCCUCUGGGGUACCUCAAUGAUUGUAACAUAUGAACUGAUAAAGCGACUCUCAGUAAAGAGCAUGGCAGAGUGACUCUGUGUGAAGUGCAAGUAACUACUUAAAUAGGUCGAGCUUCAGAGUUAAGAAUUUGGCAAUGGAAGUUGGAGAAGGUUUAGCUUGAGAAGGCGAGACCGAGUUUUCGAAGAUAGCUCUCUUGAUCUCGAAGUUGUCACAACAUCUUUUCGCUAAAUGGAGCAAUGCUCUUAGUAGAUGUUGAAGAACUAUUAUUUUCUCUGCUCUAUGAUUGGAGGAAAACUGUCAUCUAAUAUGCUGUACCCCACUAAUGUAAAUAACCUUUUGGCCAGGGUGUUCAUUUCCGUGCUCAUCCAGGCUUGACAAUGGCUUGAAAAGGAGCCACGGCCAGAGCCAUAGCUGAAAUAGUGGAAGUGAGAGUGUCAAUUGUAUUAGGACUCACUUGAAUGGACGAAGCUUGUGAUUCGUUCUGCCUAUAGAGAAGUACAAGCUCGUUGCUCACAAUGAUCAUUGAAUGUGAUGGUGUACCCCGAGGAAACGAGCCGUGGUACUUGCAAGUAUGAUAUGUAUGCAUAAGGGUGUCCCUGAACGUUUCUAUGUGUGUCCUCUAGAUCCUCAUUUGGAGCUAUUGCCUCACCACCUCUUCUAUAUCCGGAACGAGGUCCUUGAACACCCCAAUACCGUAUUUUUGCAUGGCAAUGGAACUAUGAAUCAUCAAUAUACAAUCCUCAAGUUGGUGCAUGCAUAAGUUGUUCGAUUAAAGUUGGUGGAUGCAAUACAUUGAUGGUAUCAAUGUAUCGAAACAGACAUGCCGUGCUUGUGCCUGGAACUGCACUCAUCCUCUUGAUUGUAAUAAUAACAUCAGCAUAAACAUGGUUUGCUGACAUUUAUAAACAAACUUAUCAUGUU